rnacentral:misc_RNA from 1 species
AAAUUUUGCAAGCAUGCAUUGGCAACAGUUUCAUGAUUUUAUCAUGUUUUAGUUGCCUCUUGCCAUGCCGUGGCUUGGUUUCGGGUUGCCUGAACGGUUGUACUGUUGGCUAGCGGCACGAUGCCUUAAGGACGAAAAUUUUGCCUAACGGCAUGAAGCAUGUUCGUGUGAAAUGUUGGCUAUCAGUAAUCCCGUGGCUUGAUUUUGGGUUUUGUUUGAACGGGGGCAAUGUUUGGUAGCGGCACGAUGCCUCAAUGGCGUAAAUGAUGGCUAGCGGGCAGCAAAACAUGCUUGUGCGUCCGAGCGGUGGAUGGCUUUGUUUUUCAAAAUUGGCACUCAAUGCAAUGCAACUGUUUCAUGACUUCAUCAUGUUCUAGUUGCCUUCUUCUCAUGUUGUGGCAUGGUGUGCUACGGGUUGCUUGAUCGAUUAAAAUGGUGGUUAGCUGUUGGAUGGCCUGAUCGUGUAUAAUAUUGCUUUUUGUUGCCAGUUGCCUUGGCUAUGGUUUGCCAAAUUGUUUGGAAAGUCGGCUAAUGGUGUCAUCGCAAUUACGCUAUGCCGUUCAGAGAAGUCGUCCACCGUUGCUUGUCCGGUGCCUUCGAGAACAAUAAUGAUCGUAUUUGCAAAAAAAACCCCAUCCCUGGGUCCGCUAGGCCGUUUAUCUCCGGAAUGUGUACUGAUCCCGGUGGGGGCCGCGCGGCGACGGGUCGUGGGGGGGUGCUUGGGCCGGUGCGGCCUGCGCGGCUGAUUUAUUUAUAUAAAUCACGACACGCGCGCGCGCCGUGCCCAAGUGCCCUAAGUGCCAAGACAAGCGACCCGAGCGACCCGAGCGACCCGAGCGACCCGAGCGACCCGAGCGACCCGAGCGACCCGAGCGACCCGAGCGACCAGAUCGCGACCCGAGCGACCCUAGCGCAAGAUCGCGAUGUAUUCGUCGAAUGUUCCUCUUCAAUUAUUCGUGCCUCGCGGGUUCUUUUCAUCCCCCAUCGUUACCUUGAUCCUUUGGCUUGACUGAUUUCGGACUGUUCAUACUCUCCGUUACAAGUUAAUGCUAUUGGGCUGGUUGGUGUGGCUAUGCUAGAGACCGUUUGCGGCACAUGAGUUGUAAUGGGUUUUGUUUUUAUUGUCAUGUUUUUGCUUUGUGCGCGGAACUGUCAGUAUAAUAGUCUUCUCACUGUCUCGCUCCUAAUGAAAUAUUUGAAAAACAUCGGAGCUCUAUAUGAGUUGCUUGCGACGUGAAACCCUUAUCAAGGUUGGAAUUAACUUUUGACAAUGCCUCCGUGGUUGGUCUACAUGCCUUUAUUAGAGGCAUGGAGAGUGCUUCAUGGAAUAAGAUCCUUCCAACACUUGUUUCGUAGAUUGUCUCUUGGCAAUCCCUUGAUUCUUUUGCCCCUGGACGUAGGAUCUCAUCAAUUUGUUGCAAAUGUGGCUUCUUUAAAAUGUGUCUUGGUUCCCUAUGGAACCAAGCUCGGAUCGGCUAAUACAAGGCUUGCUGGUUGUGCCUUAUCUCCUCUGUGCGACUUUGUUUCUUUCUCCUCUUUCCAUGCGGGGAUGGUUGUGGGUGAGAACAUUGUUGUGUUGAGGUCGAGC